UACUUUUCAGUUUGAUUUUUUUAUUUGUUUAUUAUGUAGAUUGGUCCGUUGAAAAAUAUGUGGUUCCUGCUAGCUGUGCAAUGCUACAUCUGAAGAAAUUUGCUUGAUCACAAGCAAAUUUGAUGUGUUGCUAUUACACAGAACUUCCGGCAAACGAAACCCGCAUUCCAAAUCAAGCAGUCACAACGACUCGAGAGGGGAAACCCACAUCCCCCUAAUAUAGGACUACUAACCACAAGCAGGUCGGGAUCAACCCUAUAAAUCUGAAAAAUAAAUUUCAAUGCAAGAGGAAUAUACUUUAAAUUUUGCUUGGUAUAUGUGAUGUCUCGUGAUUGAUAAAUCAUAAGCUGCUUUGAUGUAUUGCCUUGCCACACACACACACACACAUACACCUGGACACAGAUUGCAAGGUGCUCAGAUUUGUCUCUUCUGUGGCGUUUGUAGCUUUUGGUGUGCGUGUUGGAUGAUUGAUGCGCUGCUUGGGCAAGGCGACUCAAAGCUGAGUCGAGAGUGCAACUAAGCUACACAUGGCGUGAUGGGCGAGCCACACAGAAUGCCUGCCGGUGGGGGCAAUGGCAACCGUGGUGCCUGCACAGAAGCCAAAUUGCAUCGAUGCCUGUGAAUUGAGUAGCUGCCGGCGCAAUUCGAAUGGUUCGAGCUGAAAAGCAAUUACCAGUUGCCUGCCUGGCCUGGACAGAAGAACAUAAAUCUGCACAGUCAAGAGAUCGGGUAGGAAGUGUGGAUAAGCAAAAAAAAAAAAGAAUGCUCCAAAUGGCCAACAAGUUCUCUCACUAACGGUUUACAAAUAAUUAAGCCGCACAUUUUUGUAGUAAAUGUGCAUAAAAUGUCACAUACAUAUGCAUAUCUACAUACAUACAUACAUACAUCAAAUUGUGAAAGGCAAAUCAUGAAUGAACCAGCGACGACGACGACGACGACGAUGAAAGCUGACGAUGACGCUCGAGUGCUUUUAUGCCAGAGAUCCAGAGCAAACGCAAACAAUUGAACAGGAAUAAUUUACUAUGUAAAUAAGACGUGAGCUGUGGAGCCGGUGCCCCUGCCGGAGUUGGAGUCGGAGACGGAGCUGGGGCUGAGGCUGAAUCCGAGGCUCGAGAGUAGCGUGCGCCCUCGCGCCAUCAAGUGGCACUUCAACAAUCAAGCAUUCACACAAGCAGAUGGUUCGCAGCCGCAGCCAGCGACCACCUAAACGAAAUUUCAUUUAGUUUUGGCCUGUCAUCACGGCACAAUCGCAAUCCCGCAGACGUCGUUGCCACUGCCUGACUCGUCUGAAUGUAGAUAUCUAUAUAGAUAGCUAUACAUUAUGGAGAUGUAUGUGUGCAUAUGCACAACGAACACUCGCUUUAUUGAGUGUUUGUUUACCUAAUUCGAUUACCGAUCGCGUCCGUUCGCCAUAAUCCCCACAAAACACUUGACCAUUUGGGUGGCACAUAUAUGAAGAACACACUCGCACACAGGGAGAGAAAUAUGCAUAUCUUUGUGCUCCUCGAGCAAGCAAUCAUUGCGGAGUAAUAAGGUUGCUGACUUAAUUCGAGCGCUUGAAUGUGUAGAAGGGUGUGCUCGGAUCGGGGAUACUUCUCUUCGCUUGUAUCUUAAUGCAAUUAAAUGAAUAAAUUGAAGCAGCUGUGCAGAUUGUUAGUUUGAAGCGCUUAAAAAUACACUUUUGAACUUUAAAACCAA